rnacentral:tRNA from 1 species
UCCUGGUGGCUUAGAAGGUAAAGCACCUGCCUGCAAUGCGGGAGACCUGGGUUCGAUCCCUGGGUCGGGAA